AGAGUUUGAUCAUGGCUCAGAGCGAACGCUGGCGGCAGGCUUAACACAUGCAAGUCGAACGCCCGUAGCAAUACGGGAGUGGCAGACGGGUGAGUAACGCGUGGGAACGUACCUUUUGGUUCGGAACAACCCAGGGAAACUUGGGCUAACACCGGAUAAGCCCUUACGGGGAAAGAUUUAUCGCCAAAAGAUCGGCCCGCGUCUGAUUAGCUUGUUGGUGAGGUAAUGGCUCACCAAGGCGACGAUCAGUAGCUGGUCUGAGAGGAUGAUCAGCCACACUGGGACUGAGACACGGCCCAGACUCCUACCGGAAGGCAACAGUGGGAUAUUAUUGGACAAUGGGCGCAAGCCUGAUCCAGCCAUGCCGCGUGAGUGAUGAAGGCCCUAGGGUUGUAAAGCUCUUUUGUGCGGGAAGAUAAUGACGGUACCGCAAGAAUAAGCCCCGGCUAACUUCGUGCCAGCAGCCGCGGUAAUACGAAGGGGGCUAGCGUUGCUCGGAAUCACUGGGCGUAAAGGGUGCGUAGGCGGGAUCUUAAGUCAGAGGUGAAAGCCUGGAGCUCAACUCCAGAACUGCCUUUGAUACUGGGAUUCUUGAGUUCGGGAGAGGUGAGCGGAACUGCGAGUGUAGAGGUGAAAUUCGUAGAUAUUCGCAAGAACACCAGUGGCGAAGGCGGCUCACUGGCCCGAUACUGACGCUGAGGCACGAAAGCGUGGGUAGCAAACAGGAUUAGAUACCCUGGUAGUCCACGCCGUAAACGAUGAAUGCCAGCCGUUAGGGGUUUACUCUCUAGUGGCGCAGUUAACGCUUUAAGCAUUCCGCCUGGGGAGUACGGUCGCAGAUUAAAACUCAAAGGAUUGACGGGGGCCCGCACAGCGUUGGAGCAUGUGGUUAAUUCGACGCACGCGCAGAACCUUACCAGCCCUUGACAUCCCGGUCGCGUUUCCAGAGACGGAGACCUUC
rnacentral:rRNA from 1 species